rnacentral:rRNA from 1 species
GCAUAUCAAUAAGCGGAGGAAAAGAAACCAACAGGGAUUGCCCUAGUAACGGCGAGUGAAGCGGCAACAGCUCAAAUUUGAAAUCUGGCGCAAGCCCGAGUUGUAAUUUGUAGAGGAUGCUUCUGGGCAGCGGCCGGUCUAAGUUCCUUGGAACAGGACGUCAUAGAGGGUGAGAAUCCCGUAUGUGACCGGUUGGCACCCUCCACGUAGCUCCUUCGACGAGUCGAGUUGUUUGGGAAUGCAGCUCUAAAUGGGAGGUAAAUUUCUUCUAAAGCUAAAUACCGGCCAGAGACCGAUAGCGCACAAGUAGAGUGAUCGAAAGAUGAAAAGCACUUUGGAAAGAGAGUUAAAAAGCACGUGAAAUUGUUGAAAGGGAAGCGCUUGCGACCAGACUUGUCGGCGGUGUUCCGCCGGUCUUCUGACCGGUCCACUCGCCGUCGGCAGGCCAGCAUCAUCUGGGGCCGCCGGAUAAAGGCUCAGGGAAUGUAGCUCCCCUCGGGGAGUGUUAUAGCCCUUUGCACAAUACGGCGCGCCCCGGGUGAGGUCCGCGUCUCGGCAAGGAUGCUGGCGUAAUGGUCGUAAGCGGCCCGUCUUGAAACACGGACCAAGGAGUCGAUUAUCUAUGCGAGUGUUCGGGCGUCAAACCCCUACGCGUAAUGAAAGUGAACGGAGGUGGGAACUUCGGUGCACCAUCGACCGAUCCGGAUGUCUUCGGAUGGAUUUGAGUAAGAGCAUAGCUAAUCGGACCCGAAAGAUGGUGAACUAUGCCUGAAUAGGGUGAAGCCAGAGGAAACUCUGGUGGAGGCUCGCAGCGGUUCUGACGUGCAAAUCGAUCGUCAAAUUUGGGUAUAGGGGCGAAAGACUAAUCGAACCAUCUAGUAGCUGGUUCCUGCCGAAG